CUCACAGGGGUUCUGUAAGGCUCCAAUGAGAAAGAAAAUAGGUGUAAAGCAGUUUGGAAUCCUCAACGCCCCGACUGUCAGUUAUUGCUUUUUAAGUCCUCUGAAAGCAAAGAGAAGUGCCAUAUUCCUCCUGCGUCCUCCAAAGACAACAUGUUUUUCUCCUUAAAC
rnacentral:lncRNA from 1 species